rnacentral:rRNA from 1 species
CGUUCCCGGGUCUUGUACACACCGCCCGUCACACCACGAGAGUUUACAACACCCGAAGUCGGUGGGGUAACCCGUCAGGGAGCCAGCCGCCGAAGGUGGGGUAGAUGAUUGGGGUG